rnacentral:rRNA from 1 species
CUGCGAGUGAGCGGGAAAAGCUCAAAUUUGUAAUCUGGCAGUCCUUGCGGCUGUCCGAGUUGUAAACUAGAGAAGUGCUAUCCGCGCUGGACCGUGUACAAGUCUCCUGGAAUGGAGCGUCACAGAGGGUGAGAAUCCCGUCUUUGACACGGACUGCCAGGGCCUUUGCGAUGCGCUCUCGAAGAGUCGAGUUGUUUGGGAAUGCAGCUCAAAAUGGGUGGUAAAUUCCAUCUAAAGCUAAAUAUUGGCGAGAGACCGAUAGCGAACAAGUACCGUGAGGGAAAGAUGAAAAGAACUUUGGAAAGAGAGUUAAACAGUACGUGAAAUUGUUGAAAGGGAAACGCUUGAAGUCAGUCGCGUCGGCCAGGGAUCAGCCUUGCAUUUUUGCUGGGUGCACUUCCUGGCUUUGACGGGUCAGCAUCAAUUUUGACCGCUGGAUAAAGGUCAGGGGAAUGUGGCAUCUUCGGAUGUGUUUAUAGCCCCUGAUCGCAUACAGCGGUCGGGAUUGAGGAACUCAGCACGCCGCAAGGCCGGGGUUUUGACCCACGUAUCGUGCUUAGGAUGCUGGCAAAAUGGCUUUAAUCGACCCGUCUUGAAA